UCGUCUAAUGCUUGUUGAUAUGUGGGUGCCGCUUCUUCAAAAAUUUCCUCGCUGGAGGAUAUCUCGGAGAGUCGCUUGCCCCCUGCCAAUUGGGAUAUUCUUCAGAAUGCCCGGUGAGUGGUUAGAGUAUGUUGAUGUUAACAUACUGCAAUUUGUUGUUUGGUUUCAUGUACGGCUUGUGUUGUUCCGAGCUCAAAUCAAGUGUCACAUCCAAAAAAUUCGCCUCGAUCGUUAUUCGUAGACCAUUGUCCCGGAAAGUUUUGCAAAUAUCUUUCUUUGCGUUUUCGAUUUCUUUUGGUGUCUUGUUUAGAAUUCCGAGGCCGUCGUCUCUGUAUACGUCUCUGGGUUUGGUAUAUACCAAAUAUACGUCAAUCUACGUUGAUAUACGUUAUAUACGUUUAAUAUACGUAGAUAUUUUCAAUAUACGUCUCUGUAUAUAUAUAUAUAUAUAUGUAUAAUAAUAAUAUACUAUAUAGUCAUAAUUAUACAUAUUAUGCACGUGUGCCUAUAUCAUUAUAUAAGCACCAUAAAUUAAAGAGACAGAUAUAUAAAGAAAGAAUAUACAGAUAUUAUGGAAAUGAUAGCAUUGUAAAGAAAAACGCCUAAUAUACUAAUUUUCUCACUCAACUCUUUGCUACAACUUUUUAUUCUAUUUACUACCUCAGCAAUGCAGUACAAUAAAUAGGAAUGACUAUUUGUUAUCAGUGUAAAACAAAUAUUAUGGCUAA